AGUAAAACAAAAGAAGAACAGAAAAGAAACAGAGAAAGAGACUAGAAGAAGAAGGGGAAGAAAAGAAAAGCGGAAAAUUGAGAUUUUAAAGCUUCAAGUUUAAUUGCUAACAAAGAAAAUGAGGCAUCGGCAUCCAAAUGAAAAGAAAAGAUCGUUGAGGAGUAAACACGUAUUUCGGGUCAUUAGAGUUCAAAGUCCAGUUCAGCAUCCAGAAAGAUCUCGACUCCAACAAGAAAAUUUUGGUGAUGUAUUUCUUCCUUUUGUUUAAGUGGCAUGUACUAGGUAAUUGUACACGAGUC